ensembl:lncRNA
CGCCGGGCCUCCGCCCUCGGGCGCAGCGCGCAGCGUCGGGCUCCCUCCGAGCCUCCGCCCGGGCCGCCCGCGCCGAGCGCCCGGCCGCCGCCCUCUCCGCCUUUCCCCGCGUCCCCCGCCAGCCCGCCCUCGGGAUCUCAGCGCUCCGCUGCGCUCGGGCCGCAGGUGCCCCGCGGCGCGCCGGCCUGCUGGGGUCACGUGCUUCCCGGGCCCCGCAGGUCGCGGACCCCUCGCGCGCUGCCCGGGGCUCCAACGUGCCACGUGAAGCGCUCCCGCUCCGCUGCCCCGGGGCGCACGCCGCGCGGGCCGGGUCAUGUGUCUUUCCCGGGAGGUCCCGGUGAGCCGCCGCCCCUGGGCGCCUCGUGCCGCCGCGGGGCAGGGACCGCAGGCGCCCGGCGGCGUCAACUUCCUAGGACGGCACGUGCCAUGCCAGGUGCCUUUCCCUCCAAGUCCCAGAGUCCGCGAGGCCCAGCUGCCCGCACCCCCGGCCGACGCGGGGCACUCGGACUGGGCCCUGGGGUCCUGAGCCGCCUGAGAGCGACGCCUCGCCUCGGAAUGGCGCGCGGGACCGGGGAUCCCCGACCAGGGACUGAACCCUGGAUUGGAAGAUGGAGUCUUGAGCACUGGACCACCAGGGAAGCCCAACCCUGGCAAUUUUUGAAGAACCAGCCAGCUGUCUCCUUGAGUGUUCAAUAACUUGGAUGUGUUUAAUUAUUGCCUUCUGACUAGAUAUAGAAUAAAUCUCUUUGGUAAAUGUC